UCGAACGAGUUCUCGUUGAUGAUCGGUGCUUGCACCGAGAUUCAACAUGGCAACGAGUGGCGGACGGGUGAGUAACACGUGGGUAACCUGCCCUUAAGUGGGGGAUAACAUUUGGAAACAGAUGCUAAUACCGCAUAGAUCCAAGAACCGCAUGGUUCUUGGCUGAAAGAUGGCGUAAGCUAUCGCUUUUGGAUGGACCCGCGGCGUAUUAGCUAGUUGGUGAGGUAAUGGCUCACCAAGGCGAUGAUACGUAGCCGAACUGAGAGGUUGAUCGGCCACAUUGGGACUGAGACACGGCCCAAACUCCUACGGGAGGCAGCAGUAGGGAAUCUUCCACAAUGGACGCAAGUCUGAUGGAGCAACGCCGCGUGAGUGAAGAAGGCUUUCGGGUCGUAAAACUCUGUUGUUGGAGAAGAAUGGUCGGCAGAGUAACUGUUGUCGGCGUGACGGUAUCCAACCAGAAAGCCACGGCUAACUACGUGCCAGCAGCCGCGGUAAUACGUAGGUGGCAAGCGUUAUCCGGAUUUAUUGGGCGUAAAGCGAGCGCAGGCGGUUUUUUAAGUCUGAUGUGAAAGCCCUCGGCUUAACCGAGGAAGCGCAUCGGAAACUGGGAAACUUGAGUGCAGAAGAGGACAGUGGAACUCCAUGUGUAGCGGUGAAAUGCGUAGAUAUAUGGAAGAACACCAGUGGCGAAGGCGGCUGUCUGGUCUGUAACUGACGCUGAGGCUCGAAAGCAUGGGUAGCGAACAGGAUUAGAUACCCUGGUAGUCCAUGCCGUAAACGAUGAAUGCUAGGUGUUGGAGGGUUUCCGCCCUUCAGUGCCGCAGCUAACGCAUUAAGCAUUCCGCCUGGGGAGUACGACCGCAAGGUUGAAACUCA
rnacentral:rRNA from 1 species